rnacentral:rRNA from 1 species
AUACGUAGGGCGCGAGCGUUGUCCGGAAUUAUUGGGCGUAAAGAGCUCGUAGGCGGCUUGUCGCGUCUGCUGUGAAAACGCGGGGCUUAACUCCGCGCGUGCAGUGGGUACGGGCAGGCUAGAGUGUGGUAGGGGUGACUGGAAUUCCUGGUGUAGCGGUGGAAUGCGCAGAUAUCAGGAGGAACACCGAUGGCGAAGGCAGGUCACUGGGCCAUUACUGACGCUGAGGAGCGAAAAGCAUGGGGAGC